UACGUAGGGUGCAAGCGUUGUCCGGAAUUAUUGGGCGUAAAGAGCUCGUAGGCGGUUUGUUGCGUCGGCUGUGAAAUCCCGAGGCUCAACCUCGGGUCUGCAGUCGAUACGAGCAAACUAGAGUGUUGCAGGGGAGACUGGAAUUCCUGGUGUAGCGGUGAAAUGCGCAGAUAUCAGGAGGAACACCGGUGGCGAAGGCGGCCCCCUGGGUCAAGACUGACGUUCAUGCACGAAAGCGUGGGGAGCAAACAGG
rnacentral:rRNA from 1 species